rnacentral:piRNA from 1 species
GCAGCAAUGGAUCCCUGCAUGUCAUGAC